rnacentral:tRNA from 1 species
UUUUGGUGGCUGAAUUUUAGGCGGUAGGUUGUAAACCUACUUAUGGUGCUUCACCCCGGGGC